CACAGGUUUGGUCCCAGCCUUCCUAUUGACCCUUAAUAGACUUACACAUGCAAGCAUCCACACCCCAGUGAAAAUGCCCUCCAAGUUAACUAAGACUAAGAGGAGCUGGUAUCAAGCACACAUCCGUAGCUCACGACACCUUGCAUAGCCACACCCCCACGGGAGACAGCAGUGAUAAAAAUUUAGCCAUAAACGAAAGUUUGACUAAGCCAUAUUGAUCAGGGUUGGUAAAUUUCGUGCCAGCCGCCGCGGUCAUACGAUUAACCCAAGUUAAUAGGCAUACGGCGUAAAGCGUGUUAAAGCACUAUACCAAAUAAAGUUAAAUUCCAAUUAAGCUGUAAAAAGCCAUAAUUGCAACAAAAAUAAACAACGAAAGUAACUUUACAGCCGCUGAAACACGAUAGCUAGGACCCAAACUGGGAUUAGAUACCCCACUAUGCCUAGCCUUAAACACAAAUAGUUAUGUAAACAAAACUAUUCGCCAGAGUACUACCGGCAAUAGCUUAAAACUCAAAGGACUUGGCGGUGCUUUAUACCCUUCUAGAGGAGCCUGUUCUAUAAUCGAUAAACCCCGAUAAACCUCACCAUUCCUUGCUACUACAGUCUAUAUACCGCCAUCUUCAGCAAACCCUAAAAAGGUACAAAAGUAAGCACAAUCAUAAUACAUAAAAACGUUAGGUCAAGGUGUAACCUAUGGAACGGAAAGAAAUGGGCUACAUUUUCUAAUCUAAGAAAAUCCAACACGAAAGUUAUUAUGAAACUAAUAACCAAAGGAGGAUUUAGCAGUAAACUAAGAAUAGAGUGCUUAGUUGAAUUAGGCCAUGAAGCACGCACACACCGCCCGUCACCCUCCUCAAGUAGGUACAAUACACUCAAACUUAUUUACACGUAUUAAUCAUAUGAGAGGAGAUAAGUCGUAACAAGGUAAGCAUACUGGAAAGUGUGCUUGGAUAAAU
rnacentral:ncRNA from 1 species